GAAUUGAUGGUGACAUUAAAAUAUGAUUUAUUGGAAAGCUAAAUGAAAUUAGUGAAAACUGUAUACCAUCCUUACCAAACUGAGGUCC
ensembl:snoRNA SNORD116 Small nucleolar RNA SNORD116